GGUAGGGGAGCGUCGUGUAUGGGGUGAAGUCGCAUCGGAAGGAGCGGUGGACUGUACACGAGUGAGAAUGCCGGAAUGAGUAGCGAGAAUUAUGUGGGAAUCAUAAUGGCCGAAAAUCUAAGGUUUCUUGGGGAAGGUUCGUCCGCCCAAGGUAAGCCGGGAGCUAAGGCGAGGCCGCAAGGCGUAGUCGAUGCACAUACGGUAAAGAUUCCGUAGCCGCCGAACUUUAAGUCAGAGGGACACUUGCAGAUAGCGGAACCCAGCCGUUGGUUGAGCUGGGCGAAAGGGACUGAAAUUAGUAGGGAAGUCCGCGAUGCUGAAAGGCGAGAAAAGCUCUGAUGGAUACUAAGGCGCCCGUACCGCAAACCGACACAGGUAGAUGAGGAGAGAAUCCUAAGGCCAACGGGAGAAGGGUUGUUAAGGAACUCGGCAAAUUGACCCCGUAACUUCGGAAGAAGGGGAGCCCCGAAAGGGGCCGCAGUGAAUAGGCCCAAGCAACUGUUUACCAAAAACACAGGUUUAUGCUAAAUCGAAAGAUGACGUAUAUGAGCUGACGCCUGCCCGGUGCCGGAAGGUUAAGAGGAGAGCUUAGAGGCAACUCGAAGGUUUGAAUUGAAGCCCCGGUAAACGGCGGCCGUAACUAUAACGGUCCUAAGGUAGCGAAAUUCCUUGUCAGGUAAGUUCUGACCCGCACGAAUGGCGUAAUGAUUUGGGCACUGUCUCAACAGCCCGCCCGGCGAAAUUGUAGUACUGGUGAAGAUGCCAGUUACCCGCAACUAGACGGAAAGACCCCAUGGAGCUUUACUGCAGUUUAAUACUGGGAAUCGGUAAUGCAUGUACAGGAUAGGUGGGAGACAUGGAAGCAUGGUCGUCAGGUCAUGUGGAGUCACCGGUGGGAUACCACUCUUGUAUUGCUGAUUUCCUAACCUGCGGCCGUGAAUCCGGUCGGGGGACACUGUUAGACGGGCAGUUUGACUGGGGCGGUCGCCUCCAAAAGAGUAACGGAGGCGCUCAAAGGUUCGUUCAGCACGGACGGAAAUCGUGCAUUGAGUGUAAACGCAUAAACGAGCCUAACUGCGAGACCGACGGGUCGAGCAGUAACGAAAGUUGGAGUUAGUGAUCCGGUGGUAUGUGAGUGGAAAUGCCAUCGCUCAACGGAUAAAAG
rnacentral:rRNA from 1 species